rnacentral:rRNA from 1 species
UACGUAGGUCCCGAGCGUUGUCCGGAUUUAUUGGGCGUAAAGCGAGCGCAGGUGGUUUAUUAAGUUUGGUGUAAAAGGCAGUGGCUCAACCAUUGUAUGCAUUGGAAACUGGUAGACUUGAGUGCAGGAGAGGAGAGUGGAAUUCCAUGUGUAGCGGUGAAAUGCGUAGAUAUAUGGGGGAACACCGGUGGCGAAAGCGGCUCUCUGGCCUGUAACUGACACUGAGGCUCGAAAGCGUGGGGAGCAAACAGG